rnacentral:rRNA from 1 species
CCUACGGGAGGCAGCAGUGGGGGAUAUUGCACAAUGGGGGAAACCCUGAUGCAGCGACGCCGCGUGGGUGAAGAAGCGCCUCGGCGCGUAAAGCCCUGUCAGCAGGGAAGAAAAUGACGGUACCUGAAGAAGAAGCCCCGGCCAACUACGUUCCAGCAGCCGCGGUAAUACGGAGGGGGCAGGCGUUAUCCGGAUUUACCGGGUGUAAAGGGGGUGCAGUAGGCUAUUCAAGCCAGGAGUGAAAGAGCGCGGCCCAAUCGCGGGACUGCCAUCGGUACUGCGUGGCUAGAGUGCAGGAGGGGUAGGCGGAAUUCCGGGUGUAGCGGUGAAAUGCGUAGAUAUCAGGAAGAACACCGGUGGCGAAGGCAGCCUGCUAAACUGCAACUGACGUUGAGGCCCGAAAGCGUGGGGAGCAAACAGGAUUAGAUACCCCAGUAGUC